rnacentral:misc_RNA from 1 species
GCUCCGUUGGUGAACCAGCGGAGGGAUCAUUACUGUAAUGUCAAGAUCCCACAACCCCUGUGAACGUACCGAAACGUUGCCUCGGCGGGCACCCCGCCCCGCCCGGGGCGCUGAGCCCGCCGGCGGCCCCCUCAUCUUGUCUCUGCAGCGUGGCGUCUCAGAGUCCCUGAAAACAAGUAAAAACUUUCAACAACGGAUCUCUUGGCUCUA